UAAUGUUUUCUAUAGUUUUUAACGGCAAAUUCACCCAUGUUUAUCAUCAUUCAUAUUCACAGAAAGCAAAAUGUAAAUAAGCAAUCUUCUUCCUCACGAGUUCCCUUUCGUUCGGCAUCUUGGCAGCAGAGACGAUGAAGGACUUUCUUAUUAGAAUUGACAGCGGCAGGAUUGAAUUUGAUAGUUCACCGUGUUCAACUUGAAGCUGUUUGCGGAUUGGGAUUGAUUGGACCUUAUGAUGACGUAAGAGCACAUCCGCUAUACCAAUAAGCAAGUGUAUUAGUGCAAUGAUUAUAUGUGUACCAGGCUCUGAAGUUGGACGAAUAGACCGAGGAUGACUGAUUGAGUUCAAAUGA